CAGCCCUCCUUGGGCACUCUGCCCACUGGACAGCCCUGCAGGGCAUCAGGCCGGCCCCCAUCUGCUGACUGGCUCCUUCAGGAACUCAGCUAAACUUCCGUGAUCCUCUGGAACCUGCCACACCCCAAGGCCAAGAUACUCACCCAUGAGCAGCCAGAUCUGAAUGUAAAACAGGCUUCUCUGACCACAGAGCAUGGACUUCAAGUCAGGGUCAUUCCAUAAAAACCAGCAGGCGGCUGUUAGAGCUCUACGACUGACACAGGACUUUGCUCCCAGGAGUUGCAAUAAGCAGUUUGCUAAAUCUGUUGUAAUCUGGUGCCAACGACUAAUUCAGGCAGAAGGAGGGAAAAGGGAAUGGAAAGAAUCCCACCACGGAGCUGAGCUGCUUCUCUAUGGCGAUGUAGGCAGGAAUGGCCAGGACUAGCGCCUCCCAACCCUAGCUGCCUCCCGGUUUCAAUUAUGUACAGGGCCCUCUCUCCACAGCCCCACCACUGCCACCCACCCGCACGCGCACCACUCACAGCUCCGCAGGAGGCGCUAGGGCCACCCCAGAUGCCUGGGUUCCGAGCUCUGCCUGGGAGGCAGUGUCCCCUAGUGGUUAGCUGAGCUUUUACCAUACAGCAGCGUCUUGGUGCCUCUGAAAGAGCCCCCAGCCUUUGCUCCCUUCUCCCUCUGCCUGCACUCCAGCCACCCCGCAACCCAGGGACCCUUCAGAGCUGAGGAGACCCCUUCAUCAUAAACAGCAGCCAAACCCGACAAGUCCCUGGCCACCCAGCAGAGGCGAGGUCAGCCUGCCCGCACCAGUGAACACACCGCCCUCAGGAACAGAGGUCUGGGAGGACUGGGCAGGGCUGGGCUGGCCCGGUUAUCCCUAGAGAGAGAGAGAGAAAUGGACAGGCCACAGAGACCAGGAGACAGCCACCAGCUCCAGCCUCUUCCAGAUGCCUCAGGGCCCUCGUGGCCACUGCCCCCUCCUGUGCUCCUCACACCUGAGCACAGGUCUGUGUGCAGCCUCGCUGUCCCUUAGGGCACCAAGCCUCACUCCUGUCCCUCCUC